CUACAUGGGCCAUUGCAGUCAUUGCUGUUGGAGGUGGAAUACUUUUUGCUGUUAUUAUAGCAGUUCUCGUUCUUGUUAUUUGCUGCUGUUGUUGUGCUGCUGCUGCUGCAAAGAGAAACGAAGAGCACGAAAUGACGGAAGGUACAAAACUCUAAAGUCUAUCAGUAUCGACUGUCUAGAAUUUUUAACUAAUUAAUUCUACAACUAAUAUUACUUAUGUAUCCGACGUAAAUAAGUCUUAUUAUUCUGCUGUUAGUGUCCUUCUACAUACUAUACUGUAGCUUCCCUUUGUGUCUAUGUUUCUUUCUAUAUAUAUGUUCCUUAGUUGCUUCUUGUUUUAAAGAAAAAGUUAUAAUACUU